rnacentral:lncRNA from 1 species
GGACAGGAGAAGACAAUAUCAAACCCCUCGAAACUGGAGUUGGUCAUCUGUGACCUCAGUGUUGGGCUGUGAUCAAACUUAAGUUGUCAUAUAGAAUAGCAAGUGCUUUCAAUGGCUAAACCAUCUCUCCAGACCAACUUCCUUUAAGGUACAGUUUCACUCUAGGUAACCCUGGCUGGCCUUGAACAUGUGGAUUCUCCUGUCUCUGCUUCUCCCUAGUCAAUACACCCCGAUAGGAUCUAUAAACACACACACACACACACACACACACACACACACACACACAGACAAGGUAAAGGUAGGUAGGGCAGGAAGAAUGUCUGAAUUGCAGAGGUGUAGAGAGGUACACAGGAAGCACCCAGCAAGUGCUCACUGGGUGGAAGCCAAGCCUGUAGCUUAUUUCAAGGACUGCCCCCCCACCCCAAAUUCCAGAGCAAAGUCAGUAGAGGCCAAAAUCCAGAUUUGCAUUCCUGGCCUUUGGCUCCAGGAUGGUGUCAACCUC